CCCCUAGAUGUUCUGGGCCGCACGCGCGCUACACUGAACAGUUCAACAAGUCUUAACCUUGGCCGAUAGGUCUGGGUAAUCUUUGAACGCUGUUCGUGAUUGGGAUAGACCUUUGCAAUUAUGGGUCUUCAACGAGGAAUUCCUAGUAAACGCAAGUCAUCAGCUUGCAUUGAUUACGUCCCUGCCCUUUGUACACACCGCCCGUCGCUCCUACCGAUUGAAUGAUCCGGUGAGGCCCCCGGAUUGUGGCAAUGGCUCUGGUUCGCCAGACCAAUGCUGCGAGAAGCUGUCCAAACCUUAUCAUUUAGAGGAAGGAGAAGUCGUAACA
rnacentral:rRNA from 1 species